CCGCCGCGCCGCCCCGGCACCGCCGCCUCCGGCACCGCCUCCGUCGCCUCCUCCGUCGCCUCCUCGCCCUUCCCCGGCAGAAAUCCGCUAUCUCCCGCGUGGUCGCCCCGAGGGAGAAGCCGUAAGGAGCCCACCAGCUCCGCGGGGGUUGCGCGGGACCCUCCGGCACCCGCUGGUGCGCAGGGAAGUGUUUGCAGGGCCGGAGCUGCCCCCCGCCCCGCGGGGUCCGCGUCGGCCCCUCCGCUACCGAUGGGUGAGGGGAGCCGCGACCGCCUCCCCCGCCGCAGCCGGAGCGGGGGAUCAGCCUCCCCCUUCCCUGCAGGAGCAGGAUGGAGAAGAGCCCUAGCGCUGACGAUUACAUAAAUUGUGUGGCUCUUCCCUGAUGCUCCAUAAAUGGCCACUGGUCCCAAAUUAGCAUGUGGGUACUAUGAUUGAAGAAUAUGAAGUCUGUAGUUAUAAUGUUUGUAACCAAGUUCAACAGCAUUUAAAUAAAUUUCUUCUGGAUGAGACAGUUUAAAGACAUCUGUUGGGUUGGGUUGUUCUUUUAUCUUAAGUAACUCUGGCCUUCUAAUGCAACUGCUCAGACUUUCUUCAAAAGAGUAAAGUUCCUCUGUUAUAGAUUCCCCUGUAUUAUUGUCAGUCCAUUGUUGAUAUAUUUGUGGUACCUGUCUCUCUCUCUCUGAUUAAAAGCAGGAGUAUUCUGAGAUUCUGAUUCUACUCAGCAGUGGUUGCAUUGACACUCUGUUUGCAAGCAGCUGGUAACUAGAGGCUGAAGCCAAUGUCAUCAUUUUGUUUGUAUUAUCAUGCUGAGUCCAAACUUUGCCAUUUAAAUACAAACAGAUGUUCCUUAGCAGAGCUAUUUUGAAUGCAGACUAUUACAGUACAACCCCCAAGUGCUGAUCCCACUCUUCCAUCUUUGCAUUUAGUGCACUCCUGUUACUUUUUUCUUAAUUACUGAAUUACCCUGAAACAUUUGUACAAUACAAGUAAACUUGGACCUUUAAUAAAAGUUCUCUGCUAUUUUAUUUAGGGAACUUAUAAUAAUACAGUGUAGAAACGGUUGUUGGAUGAACAGAAGUAAGGACAGCCUUUAUUCUCUAAACUUUCAGACUUCUGGGGGAUUCUAUAGUUGUAUUUGAUCCAAAUUUAGGUUGCCUUUAAAAGUAGAGUUUUCCAAAAAAAUAAUCUCAAAGACCUUUCUGUACAGACUCUACACAGUGCAUGCUAAUCAAAAAUAUAUGUUGAUCUCAUACAUUUUGCCUCUAAGGAGGACAGACUAGUGUACAUGUGGUAAGAGUGAUAAAUAAGAUAUAAUUAGCAUGCCUUGUAAAAGGCAUUGUGAAAUGUUGUUUCACAAAUAUAAGAUCAGAACACCUUUGAAGUUUUCACUCAAGUUCUUGCCCAAGACUCCAUGUUCCAUGAGCAAGAUUUUCAGAAUCUCUCACUAUUUAAAAGUACACCUUAAGAACUGAGAUGUAAAAUAUCUUAAUGCUAAAAGAAGCUUUAAGAGUAGGGAUUUAUUGCCAGUCCAUUUGCCUUUGCAGUAAAUAGGAUAGCCCUAUUAAUGGCUUUAUUAGUCUUUUGUCUGCCAGCAUAGUUGUUCCAAUUUCAAAUCCAUUCUUUGCUAUUAUUAGAAGGCAUCCAGCCCUAAAAUCAAAAUUAUGGUUGACUUUGCUAACUUUUCCAAAAUGAUUUCUCAGCAGGCUAUUUGUGAGUGUUUUGCACUUUGCUCCUUUGUUCCACACUUGGCUCUUGAUUACUUGGUGUGUACAGUGUCCCACAGAGCAAAUCAUAGUGGACUAAUUAAGAACUACCAAGAGCUUCUCAAGUUAUGCAAGAUCCCCAGAACUAUGAAAAGCCUUUUCAGAUUCCCAGUCACGUACUGUGAAGUGCCAUAAAUCAAACUUUAGAAAACACUGAAAGCUGUGCUUCAGGGACUUACAGGUAUACUUUAGUUCCAAAAGAAAGUACUUACUAUUAUUAAAGUUUACUACUAGGUUUUUAGUACUUUUUUUUUUUUCUCAGCUGAAAUCCCACAGGCUUUGAACAUUCUGAAUACCAGUAGCAUUGAUUUAAUGACACAUGACCACUUAUUGGUGACAUUGGUGAAAUUGAAGUCUUUACUUUUACAUGAGUCUGGAAGACUAAAUGAAGUGAGAGCAAACACUUGGGCUUUACUGAUAGAGCUUAGGCAGGAGGAUAAAGGAAACGAAACCUCACGUGUCACAUUACACUCAGGAGGUCAGGGAGUUAUUUUUACCUCAGUGUCACUAGUAUGGGAAAAUGCAGAAGACCUCACCUUAUGUGGAAACUAUAGGAGAUGGCCAAGUUAUUUGUUAAGAUGGGUCAUCAGUGUCAUCUUGUGCAACAAACCUUAUGGCUGGACUCCUGCAAGUGUCCUCACCCCACACAUCGGUCACUUGGUCAUGUAGGGUGCUCAGUGUUGCUCUACACAAACAACUCUAUUUAUCCUUACUACAGAGGACAGAUUUUAUUACUGAAGUGUUGUAUCUUUGGGGAAAUUGUUAUUUUGUAUUAUUCUAUGCUAGAAUGACAUACAUUGUAGAUAACCAUGAGGCUGUGUCAUUAAAACAAAACCUAAAGAUUUAGAUUUGGGGGUCGUACUGAAACAAUUGGGAGGCAGCUACAUUGCAUGCUGUUGGAGUUAAAUCCAAUGUAUAGCAUACAUUGGAUGUACAUUGUAAUACAUUGUAAAAUUACAGCUGUGAAAUCCUGAUAAUUGCCUUUUAUUUUGUUCCUUAAAAAAGGCUUCCUUUGUCCAAGAAAAACACCUGUGAUUAAAUAGCCAGAUGUAAAAACAAACAAGAAAAAUCCUGUCUACAUGCCCAGGCAUAUCUUGAAGCCUCAAAUGCGGAGUGCACCUUUCCCUCUGCAGCUGUGUCUAUGCACAGUGACUGGGACAGUUCCUUGGCACUGUUACAAGCAGGAGAGGCCGGGCCACAGGCCAGGUGCUCCUUCUCUUUCUACUGAAGAUGGACAUAAAGAACACUGAACAAGAAAUGACAGAUUUCACUGAUGGGGUCUAAUUUGGGUGAAGAAGCUGACAGUUACCAUAAGAUUUAAACCAAAAUAAAUAGUCUCAGACCACCUAAGAACACAGUGGACUUGGCAGUAUUAGGUUUACAGUUAGACUCAAUGAUCUUAAAGGUCUUUUCAAUCUAAAUGCUUCUCAGAUUUUAAGAAUUACUUAAAUUGAAUUAAUUAUAUUGAUAUGCUAGUAAAUGGAAUACAGGAAAACAUUCUUACUAAACACAUCAAAAUGCAACAGCUGAGGGGUUAAAAUGCUAUUAUAUAUCUUACAGAAAAUUAAAUUUAACUUUAUUUUUGAAAGACAUAAUGUAAAACAACAUCCAAAUCUCUCCUCUCUUUUUCAUUUCAUGAAUUCUCUAUGUAAGGGAGAGUUUUCUGUAAACAAAUAAAUCUGCAGGUUUGAAUGCCAGUACAUGAUCAAUUGCAGUGGAGAGAAAAGGUUUGAGCAAGAGUUGCCAGACUGAAUUUGAACCAGCUCUGCAGGAGUCAGAGCACAAGGGAGGAGAGCAGAGCAAUGCCUUGUUUUGCAGAAAGCCUCCCUGAGUUUAAAUAUUUCUUUGCCUGUAAAUCUUUAGUCUCAUACAGUGUUUAAUAAAACCUGUCUGAGACAUGCAGUCUUUCAGAAAAGCAAUUGAAUUUUUCUGUGAGGUCAUACCGAUUCAGCCCAAGUAACAACCUAUUUUUUUUCUGUUAUUUCAUUUGCAUUUUAAUAUUGUAUGUCCUAAGGUGUUCUUUUUUAGUGUUCCUGUGGUUUCUUGUGAAAAGAGGAAAGAAAAUACAUGAACGUGAAGUAGCUCUCUCAGCAAACAUUUAAUUAACUGGACAGCAAUCUUGCUGGAUAAAGAUUGCAUUUUCAAAUAAAUGGAAACAUUUUCAUUGUAUUUGAGAGAAGAUGACCACCCAUCAUCUGCUGCAAAGUAAAAAAUGUAGGAGAGCCUUAUUUUCUUUUAGGAAUUUAUAAUAACACUCUAAAGGGUGAAAAUAAUACCCAGGGCUCUUUAAUUCAAGUUAUCUCCAUUCCAUUGUCCCAACAGCUGACUUGAUAACAGACCCAUGCCUUCACAGGUAGGUGUUAGUGGAAUGAAUAGUGAUUGAGUUACAGGCAGUUAUAAAUAACCAUGUUAUUUAGCUCCAAGCAAAAACAUGUUUAUUUUUCCCUUAAAUCACUUCAAAUGUUUAUGGCUUGCAUAAAUAAACUGGACAGGCUGAGGGAAAAGGUUUAGUAAAUCACUGUUGUUUGCAUGAAUUUUGUCAACUAAAGAACUCUUGAUCAGGUAAAAGAAAGUUCCAUGAAUAUUGCUAAUUUUUCUGGGUAUAGGGAAGGCGCCUGUCUUCAUGAUGGUCUUUAAAUCUUUUUUAAGCCCCUGCCUGAAAGCCAGUCUAGAAUGACAAAGCACAAGAACAGACCAGGUACUCUGUUUCCUCACUGCACAUUCAGUGCCUCUGCUCCAGACUCUUUUGUGUGCCCUUCAUCUCCUGUUUGCUAGACCAAACACACACAAUUUUAUCAGCUUGUCCCUAACAUGAGGUCUCCUCACUGCUUAUCAAACUUUCCUCUCCUCUGGGUUCUGCUCAGUCCAUGCUCAGAGCUGAGCACUGUUCUCUCACAGCCAAAACACUGCCUGCAGGGAAUGGCAAACCAGGGCUCCUUUGCACCUGGCACACACAGGGGAGCACGCAGCACUCGCCUCACUGUGCUCUCCUUCCAUGAGACACGAGCCUAUCACAGCACAGGGAAGUGGCAUGCAAACAACUUUCUUGGGAACAUAUUUUGCAGCUGUUACAAGCUAAUUCUCAUACAAUUGGGGUUUUUAAAAAUAUUUUCCAGGUGUAUUCCUUAGUCACUUUUCUCAUUUUUUUCCCCUACCAGGUAAUGUUCUAAUGAACUGGAAAAAAACCUUUGAGCCCUUUUCAGCAAAAGGACAAAAAAUUUAAUGUUAGUAUUCAUUCUGUUAGCUAAUAUGGCACACUUUUUUUGGUAAUCAAAAAAAGAACAAGCUGUACAGCCAAGUUACUUCUGAAAGGGUAAAAUUCAGGCAUGCUUUCUGCAUGAAAGCAGAUAUUCCAUGAAUAUUGCUUUUGCUUUGUGGAAAGUUCAAAUACAGCAGUUGGAAAUAGGUGUUGAGAUAUUUUGGCAUGUUAUCACAUUUUAAGGGGUAAGUUCUUUUUCUAAAUUACGGUCAUUUAAUUAAUCCUGGUUGAAGGAGUCCAGAAGUUCUUUACCUGAUGCCUGCCUUCUCUGAAAGAAGAAAGGUCAUUCUUAAAGCCCAGAAAAAAUGGCAGUUUGAGGCUACAGAUUUCUAUAAUGUUACUUGGCAUGUAUUCUUGUCAAAGAGAAACAAAGGCAGGAAAUAAAAUAUUGAUGACAAAUUGUAUUAGCACAAGAGCUGGAAAUAGUAUGUCUAAGCUUCUGAUCUACCAUUUUUGCUGGGGUUUAGCAAAAUCCUUGCAAUUAAUAUGUUCUUGCAGCUGUACUGAAUUUAACGUUGCCCAAUUAAAUCACUAAAUAAGUUCUUUUCAGACCUUGUCAGGUAGUUUAAUUUAUGUUGGAUUUACCUUCAAAAUUGAGGAGUUUUGUUUAACUCAGCUGACAUACCAUCUGUCAAGUCAACCAUGUGCUCAGUUAAGGGAAUGUAGUUCCAGGCAGGCAAUGAAGGAAUUGCUUCUCUAGAAAAGGAACAAAAUCAAACUGUGCUAGGGCCUUUUGAGCACCAGUAAAGUAUUUUGCAAAGUGGGGGAGCGCUGGGCACAGCUGCGUGCAGGAAAAGAAUGAAAGGGAAUAUAGUCCAAGGCAAGAUUUCCUGAGGCAUAAAAGACCACAGCAUAAUAUGUAUUACUGGAGGAGAACAUAGUUAAUAGCUGUAUAUUUCUGAAAUCAAUAAAUAGCAACAAAGAAAUCUAAAUUUUUUGUGCCUGUCUUGAUGAUGUUCGGGUCCUUCCCUAACAUACCAGGCCCACAAGUAUUUAUUUAUGCACUUAACCUUCCUUAAAAAUCAUCACAUGUGAUGCUCAAGUGACUAAGCCUGGCAAGCAUGAGAAUUUUACAAGGUCAUGUAGGACUCAGACUUGAAACAAUAAAAUAAGAACCCUUGAGGUUUAGCAUGUUUUCAUUAGUGCUUUAGGUUUUGUGCAUUUUAGACUACUUAUGUGGUGUUAAAUGCUUCUGUAUAUGUUAGCAGUCCAUUAAUGCAUGUUUUGAAAUUGUGUAGAUUAGUAUUUUAUGAAUAUGCACUUUUUAUCUUCCUCUGAUGUUCUCUGGAACUGUUUUUAACAGGCACUGGUAAUGACAUUUGAGUGGUAUUUAUAGCUUUAUUUGCCUUGCUCUCUACUGGAAAGACUAAUCUCUUAAACAUUUCAUUCCAGUACCUCAGAUUAAUUUUCCACAAAUCAACUUCAAACAAAUUCUAGUGCAGACAUUCUUACACUGCAGAAACUAUCCCAUCUCAGAUAAAAGCAUGGUAUAGUUAGGACAAAGGGCAAGGGACAGUCAUCUUUUUGCAAAUCAGCAAAAGAUAGCUGCAAGCAGUUGCAAUCAAGAAUAAAAUUACAUUUAUUUCAAUACAUCAGAAAAAUAAACAUCUGCCUACUCUACUCACCAUUCCUUUAAUAAAUGUAAAUAGUUUCAUAAAAUUUGUACAGCUUGUCAUUUUUAAUGACUAUUCAUUCUUUUCUGAAUAACUGCAACAGAGUUUUACUAAUCAGUUUUUAUGAUCAGUCCUGAAGUGACUUGGUUUUAUUAUUCUCCUUGCUGUUUUCUAGAGAUACCCAGGUUUCAUAUUUCCUUCCUGCAACUCCAGUUUUUCUUCACAUUCAAGUCUUGUUUCUUCCCACAGAUACUAAAGAACAGUUUGAUUCUUCUAUCUAUCUUUACUCCUGCUCAGUGCCAUUUAUUCUACAUUGUUUCAUAAUAUCAAGGUAACUGCAGAAAACAGAGGUGAGGACCAUAGAAAUCUUAGCUAAUGAACAAGCUUGGGCAGGAGUAAAAUACCAUAAGCUUUCAGCAGUUUGAUAUUUCAUACCAGUGAUCAACAUGAGACAUUUUUAACAGCUCACACUACAGGCCUUAUGAGAGUAUGUAUUUUUGGUGAGAAAAAAUGCUGCUGGUUUCAGGUCACUGCAUUUUAGUUUGGUAGCAAAACUUUUUGUAUCAACAACAGUUUUAUUUCACCAGAUGUGUACCAUCCCAUGAAAAAUACCACACUGGAAAAGCAGACAGCUUGUGCUCCCGUUGUUUUGAUGCCAGUUCUUCUAUUAACAGCUAAGAUUGGGCUUAGGUUUGGCAUCAGAUUUUAUUCUCAAGUAGGCAGCUGCUUCUAGAAAAGGGCCAAAACUGUUUCUGUGUCAAAACCACAAUUACAAAAAUUCAGCAUAGCCUGCCAGCCAGCUCAUCUUUCACAGGAGUAUAAAGUGUCCUGCAGAACAACUGGAAUGAUUUUGAAAGCUGCUUUAAGUUUCAACAGCAUUGCUGGUUUCUCUUUUAAAGGUCUGUAGGUGAAUAUUUUCUGCAGGUGAAUUUCCUGCAGGUAAAUGUUUACUGAGUAUCUUAUGCCUUCUAAAGAGGCAAAACACCAUGACAGCAGUUCCUUUCCUCACAAGCAAGACAUCAUUUUUUUUAGCAGAGACUAUUGAAAUUUCCCAUUUAAAGUGUAGAUUUUAAAGUGAAAAAAAUUCAACUGUGAAAUAGAUAUUUAGCUCCUUUAAUAAGCAAAACUAUUGUCAACAUAUUCCUAUAGACAUUGCUUUUAAUUGUAACAAUAAUUUAAUUCAAGGCAGUCUCAAAGUUCAAUGAAGUUAUGUUAAAAAAAAAAGUUUAUGCUUCCAGCAGCAUCAUAGCUGGAAACUAUGAUGUAACACAUUUCUUAUUUCUUAACUGUGCCCAGACAACACAUCAUUACUGCAUUUGCAAUCAGCCAAAUGACUGAAUUCAAUGAGAACUUUGAAACUGCAGAGAGAACAAAACCAACAUACAAAAAUAAAUAACAUGGUUUUGCAUUUGAAAUACCUGUAGAUGGUAAAACAAGUUUUCAUGUUAACCUGCUGCCAUGAAGCUUGAAGAAGCCCCACUGGGCCUUUAAAAAUCCAGCACCUUAUAUCAUUAUUUUCACUAUAAAGAAAGUAAGCUUAUUAUUUCUCUUUCAAAUUAUGCAGGUUUUAGCUGGGAUGGAGUUAAUUUUCUCCAAAGGAGCUCAUAUGGGGCUGUAUUUUGAAUUUGUACUGAAAACAGUGUUGACAAUUCAGGGAUGUUUUGUUAUUGCCAAACAAAGAGCCACGGCCUUUCUGCCCCUCACCCCACCAGGGAGGAGGCUGGGGGUGCACAAGGAGCUGGGGGAGGAUGAGCUGGGACAACUGACCACAGCUGGCCAAAGGGAUACUCCAGACCAUGUGGCAUCAAGCUCAGCUAGGGAAGGAGGAAGGGGAAGACAUUUGGAAUGAUGGCAUUUGUCAUCUUAAGUAACCAUUACAUGGGAUGGAGCCCUGCUUUCCUGGAGAUGGCUGAACACCUGCCUGCCCUUGGCAAGUGGUGAAUUAAUUCCAUGUUUUCCUUUGAUUGUGUGCAGCUUUUG